GAAAACUGGUAUCCAGUUUCUGUUGGGUAGACUCACAAGUCAUUGUUUUACAGUUCUGCUGUCAUUUUUAAUUUUGGAUUGAUGGCAACCUUCCAACAAUUGCUACUUUCAAAAUUUGGAUUUUGAUUUGCUUUUGUGUUUGUCAUGAGAGUUUGUUUUCCCCAUAAAAAGGUAGGAACAAUUAAUAUAUAGUUGUUUUCAACUUAUUUUUCAAGAGGUUAGGCUUUCUU
rnacentral:misc_RNA from 1 species